UACAGAGGGUGCAAGCGUUGUUCGGAAUUACUGGGCGUAAAGCGCGUGUAGGCGGCGUGGUAAGUCGAAUGUGAAAGCCCUUGGCUUAACCAAGGAAGUGCAUUCGAUACUGCUAUGCUUGAGUACCGGAGGGGAUGGCGGAAUUCCUGGUGUAGAGGUGAAAUUCGUAGAUAUCAGGAGGAACACCUGUGGCGAAGGCGGCCAUCUGGACGGUGACUGACGCUGAGACGCGAAAGCGUGGGUAGCAAACAGG
rnacentral:misc_RNA from 1 species